UAUCAGGUUACCCAUGACAGGAGAAGCAAGGAUUUAGAGACAUUCAGGGAAAUGCUAGAGGUCACACAUCGACCUGAAGAGAGAACUCUUUUAUUGAAAUGCUUUUCAGAUUAUGUAAAUAAAAUUUAAGUCAACUAUUUUUUAUGGAGUAUUAUCUUUCCUAACUAUUUGUAGCAAAUGACGAGGCCGUCAUUUCUCAACUGGGUGGAGUUUGUGGUAGUUGUACUUAGUUUAGUUUUAUAUUUUUAUAUUGCCAUUCACAUUUAUUCACUUCAAUACAUAUUGCGCUGCGCUACUUACUAACUUUGUGUUGUGUGUUAAAGAAACCUAAACACCCCUUUUAAAUAUAAUGGUUUAAUCCGUAAGGGUCCAGUUAGAACAUAACUCGGAUUAGUUCAUGUACCUCUUAGGUGUCAUACUUGUUCUGUCAUCUGAUUGGUCUUAGUAUUUUGUUCUAGCCAAUAGGAAUUCCUGGCGGGAAUUCCUGAGUUCUUUUUAUGAAAUAGUUCAGGAAAAUCUAGUUUUGAAAGAGAUUCCAAAGGGUGUUGCCACUAUUGAGUUCUAAAUAAGCAUAAAAUAUAUAUUUAAUUUAUAGAGGAUUUGCUAACACCAACAACUGUAAGUAGCUGAUAGUUUUACUAUAUGAUUAAAAGCAAGUAAUGAAUUUAAAUAAGUAAUUAAACUUUUCUUUAUUCAUAAAACUUGUGUGCAAGUCGUGAGUGAAAGAUUUACUGAAAGUAGAAUUGUGGAAAAACAUAAUUUCUGUUCUUUAAGUAAAUAAUGAGUUUUAAGUAAUAUAAAUGCGCAGAGUGAUAUAUGUGUACAGAAUUUAGUAUUUUAGUAAAUUCUUCAAUAGGUCAUCAUAAGAGUUUUAAGCAGUUCACCUUGAUUUCGGAAGCUGUAGCUCAGUUCCAUAAACUGGGUUUGUUUUCAUUGUUUCCAAAAAGUAAACGAAUCUACGACCUUAA